UCGGCGGCUGAGCGAGCUGACGCGAGCACGCCGCGUGAGGGAUGAAGGCCUCUGGGCUGUAAACCUCUUUUAUCAAGGAAGAAGAUCUGACGGUACUUGAUGAAUAACCCACGGCUAAUUCCGUGCCAGCAGCCGCGGUAAUACGGGAGUGGCAAGCGUUAUCCGGAAUUAUUGGGCGUAAAGCGUCCGCAGGCGGCCCUUCAAGUCUGCUGUUAAAAAGUGGAGCUUAACUCCAUCAUGGCAGUGGAAACUGUUGGGCUUGAGUGUGGUAGGGGCAGAGGGAAUUCCCGGUGUAGCGGUGAAAUGCGUAGAUAUCGGGAAGAACACCAGUGGCGAAGGCGCUCUGCUGGGCCAUCACUGACGCUCAUGGACAAAAGCCAGGGGAGCGAAAGGGAUUAUAUACCCCUGUAGUCCUGGCCGUAAACGAUGAACACUAGGUGUCGGGGGAAUCGACCCCCUCGGUGUCGUAGCCAACGCGUUAAGUGUUCCGCCUGGGGAGUACGCACGCAAGUGUGAAACUCAAAUGAAUUUGACGGA
rnacentral:rRNA from 1 species